CAGCAGCUGGAUUUUUCACUUGGCGCUCUCCCUCGCGAAAACCCUACUCUCUGCCCUUUUCCUUUUCCAACAACCCUUCCAUCUCAGCAAAUCCCUCCUUCUCAAAGCCAUUUCCUCUACAAUCCCAUUUUCUUGAUUUACGAGUUUCAUCAUCAACGCAUCUCCUUUCGAUCUAGAGUCAAACUGCAAAGGUUCACUAUAAUCUUCUUGUGGACAUGUCUUUUCCAAUAACACCUUCUAAGAGACCCUAUGAUAGGAAUCCUUUAGAGCUGAAUGGAAGGGCAAAGUGGCAAAAGACUGCAGCUUUCAAUCCACAGCUUCAACCACUGAAAAUACCCCCUGGUUCCACUGCUUUUCGGGUACUUUGUCCUGCUUUGAAGUCGGGCAGUGUUAUCGGUAAAGGUGGCACCGUUGUAAAUAAGAUACGCAAAGAAACUGGCGCAAAGAUCAGAAUUGAGGAAACUAUCCCUGGGUGUGCUGAAAGAAUUAUUGUUAUAGUGGGUUCUGAUAAAGAUGCAGAAACUAGCAAUGACCAGAAGAAAUCAGAUGAUGAAUCUGAUGAUAUUGCUAAUGACUCUGAUGAUGCUGGGGAACAAGAUGAGAGCAAGGAUGAUAAGGAAGUUGCUCCUAUAGAGAGUCCACAAUCUGAAAAGGCAAGUUCAUCUGCACAAAAGGCUUUGUUGCGUGUUUUUGAGAGAAUGGUCGAAGUAGAUCCCGAGGUGGAUGGGGAAGAUGAAGCGAGUAAGAAGUCUUCCGCAGUUUAUGUGAGAUUGCUUGUGCUUUCUAGCCAAGUUGGUUGCAUUCUGGGGAAGGGUGGAAGCGUAAUUAAGCAUAUAUCUGCAGAAAGUGGGGCGCAGAUCCGGAUCCUUCCUAGGGACAAGCUUCCUUCAUGUGCUUCGCCCUUUGAUGAACUGGUCCAGAUAACAGGAGGGUUAGAUGCAGUUAGGAAAGCUCUUCAACUGGUUUCUCAACAGCUUCUUGAGAACCCACCUCGUGACCGUGAUUCAUUUCCUGCAAGCAAGACUGCCGGGCCAUCAUCUCAUCCGUUUACGCCUCUUCCUCAGCCAGAAAUUUACCCACCUGCAAUUCAUCAUUUCCCUGUUCAAGGGGCACCAUAUGCUGUCAGGCCUCAUUCUAGCUCUGAUUUUCAUCCAAGCAUCACCCCAUCUAUUCCUAAAUUUCAUGAAACUGAAAGUGUUAUCUUGGGUCGAAUGAGGACUUCUCAGGAAAUACUCACAUUCAGGUUGUUGUGUAUGGAUGAUAAGAUCGGAGGUGUGAUAGGGAAAGGAGGGAGCAUAAUAAAAGCGCUCCAACACGAAACAGGUUGUGAUAUCAAAAUUCCUGAUGCUGUUGCUGACUCAGAUGACCGUGUCAUAAUUAUAUCCGGCCCUGCACAUCUGGAUGAUAGGAUCUCUGCUGCACAGGAUGCAGUCCUUCGAGUUCAGAGCAGGGUUUUGAGACCUGUAUCUGACGGUAAAGAGAAAAGUAUGUCGUCUAGGCUUCUUGUUCCUUCUAAUCAGAUUGGUUGCCUUCUUGGCAAGGGCGGUGCCAUAAUAGCUGAAAUGAGAAAGGCAUCUGGUGCGUACAUACGUAUUUUGGGGAAGGAUCAGAUCCCAAAAUGUGCCUCGGAAAAUGAAGAAGUAGUUCAGAUAAAUGGGGAAUUUGAGGCAGUUCAGGAAGCGGUGUUGCAAAUAACUUCAAGGUUGCGGCAUCAUCAAUUCCGUGAUAAGUUUCCUUCCAUGAACCAUCCACCACGUUCUGCUUUUCCCGAUCAAGGACCUCCUUUUGUUCCCUACAUGGGAAGGAGGGAUCUUUCACCACCUGGAAUGUAUUCUAAUUUGGGCCUCCCCUUUCACAAGUUUGAUGGUGUUGGGGGCCUUCCUCAUCAUGAUGAACGAUCUGCUUUUGCUCAUGGCAUUCACAGACAUGGCUUCCCCCCACAUAGUUCUGAAAGACUACCAUCCUCAGUGCCAUGGGCAGCUCAGGGCACACGGGAUGGUGGUGGUCCAAUUGGAAUUUCAGAUUACACAGGAGCUCCCCAGCGAAGAAUGGGUGGAGCUGGAGGUGGAAGCCAGCCAUCUUUUAUCACAAGCACGACUGUAGAAGUUGUUGUUCCUCGAUCACUUGUUGCUUCUAUCUAUGGAGAGGAUGGAGGCUGUUUAAAACAGAUACGCGAGAUUUCUGGUGCUAAAAUUACCAUCACUGAUACUGCACCUGGGGCAACUGAGACUGUCAUUAUAAUAUCGGGAACACCCGAACAGACCCAUGCUGCACAGAGCCUGCUUCAAGCAUUUGUAAUGAGCGGGACAGCUUCCCCCUGAUUUGCCGUAGUAGACAGAUACUCUGGCUUUUCACGCUGCCGUUGAAUAGCCUCAAAGGUGUACCUUCAGAUUUGUGCCAAUCAAGAAGACUGAAUGGAUGAAUUUUAAAAAAAUGAUUGGAAGAAUUCAACAGUGAUGAGGAAUCCACCUUUCCGGCAAGUAAUAUUGAGCAGCUCCCAGAGAAAGUAUUGAGGGAGGUGAUCCAUCAGAUACAACUGUUGUAUGUAUGUUGUCAUGAUGGAUCUCAGUUGGUUUGUGAUACUGAUGGCGAUCAUGGGCACUUUUAGAUCAAUGGUACUUGCACCAAUCAGCUGGAAAAACGUGGGGAGACCCUUCUAUUUUGCAUCUUGGUGCUUCUUUUAGCGUCAAUUUUGUGGAGUGUAUAAUGGUUGCAAGAGGGAGAUUAAACUUGGAUCACCUAACUUUUGUAAAAUAACCAACUUACCUUUUUAUUCUAAUUUUUUAUUUUUA